AUUGAACGCUGGCGGCAGGCUUAACACAUGCAAGUCGAGCGGGGUGAGGUGCUUCGGUACUGAUCCUAGCGGCGGACGGGUGAGUAAUGCUUAGGAAUCUGCCAUUUAGUGGGGGACAACAUUCCGAAAGGGAUGCUAAUACCGCAUACGUCCUACGGGAGAAAGCAGGGGAUCUUCGGACCUUGCGCUAAAUGAUGAGCCUAAGUCGGAUUAGCUAGUUGGUGGGGUAAAGGCCUACCAAGGCGACGAUCUGUAGCGGGUCUGAGAGGAUGAUCCGCCACACUGGGACUGAGACACGGCCCAGACUCCUACGGGAGGCAGCAGUGGGGAAUAUUGGACAAUGGGCGGAAGCCUGAUCCAGCCAUGCCGCGUGUGUGAAGAAGGCCUUUUGGUUGUAAAGCACUUUAAGCGAGGAGGAGGCUACCUGGAUUAAUACUCUAGGAUAGUGGACGUUACUCGCAGAAUAAGCACCGGCUAACUCUGUGCCAGCGGCCGCCGUAAAAC
rnacentral:rRNA from 1 species